UUCUUUUUUUUUUUUUUUUUUUUAAUAUUUCCAGUGUUCCAAUGAGUGACUGAUAACUAUAAGUGCUAGUACAUUUGAAAUGGAUUAUUUUAUUUAAAAAGUUAUCUCUAGAAGCAAGUGGAUAUCCCUACUCAACUUCCAGUGCUCUGAAAGCAAGAGACAAGCAGAUAGAGCUUAAUCUUUUCUUCCAAAAAUCUCAACCGAAACAAUGUAAAGUGUAAUAGUGCAUUACAUUACAUGAAUACUACAUCAAAUCAGAACUUGAAUACUCCAUGAAUAAUGAUUAUUACAUUGAAUCAGAAUUUGAAAACUUGGAUAAUUUUUCUGAAUUCUUACCAGUGCUGUUAUGGUGCUGUUAAUGUACAGGAGAUGAUUGCUUUGUUGUAUAUGCAUAUUUUGCUGUUAUCAUGAUAGUCCUAAGUUCAAACCCUGUUUACUGUCACCCCCUCUAUCCUGAUGGAGGUUCUGCUUAGAAUUUAACAAUGUCAACUUCAUUUUGCUGUUACAACUGUUUAGGAUGACCAUUUACAGAGAGAAAAAAUAACUACCUGACUUGACAUGACCUCAGGCCUCUGCAUUUUUGUUGUUGUUUUGUUUACCAUACCAUUAAAAUGCCAUUUCUUAAUUCAUCCUUGCAUGACUAGCUUUGUGACCAUCAAGGUAUGACUUGAGGACUCAGUGGUCACAAUGAAUUUUUAAUCAUUUAAUUCAGUCCACUGCAAUCAACAUUAUUUAUUUUUCACUUUGGUGCUUUUAUUGAUCUGGAACUUGAAUUCUUUGAUUAUUAUGCAACUAAUAAGGACUGUCAUACCUGUACAUACCUGAGUAUUCUUUAUUUUAUAACUAGUUAUAUAUUCAAAGAGUUUCUUAACCACUUCUUUUGUACAUACUCAUUUCCAGUAUUAAGACGCAUAAUGGUAGAUUAUAUAGAACAGAUGAAAAAGCAUUACAUAAUAUUUAGUGCAAGAAUUUAAUUACUAGCAGAAAUAUGAUUCUUAUAUUUCUGUGAACAGUUCACCCAUUUAAACACCAAAAUAAUCUUUAUAUAACUGCAUUUGUCUAGGACCAAACUGAUUUUCUAUUGCUACAUAUUGCAUACAACUUUGGAUAUCUGUUGUUUUGUUUCCCUCUAGCUUGUGUAUUCUGUUGUAGAGAUAAAGUCAAACCUGGACACGCAAAAUGUGUACAAAAAAAAUAAGUGCCAAUGUUGACAAUUGUGAUUUGUGUUUCAUUCUGCUGAUAUUGUUUUUUUCGUAAAUGUGCGUUUUAAAUGCUUUGGCCCCACUCCCAAUAUAUAUGCAUUGUGAAUCAAAUAAAUGAUGUCUCUAUACCUACAUUGAAAUAAAAGAAGUGUCUUGAGUUUAUAUUGUCAUUAUGUUGCUGUAUUUUUUAACGUCCAAGAAAUUAAGAAAUAUAUUACAAUAAAAUGUACAAAUAUUGAAU